GACAGAGGUGCCAAGCGUUAGGCGGAAUCACUGGGCUUAAAGCGUGUGUAGGCGGUUCGUUAAGUACCUUGUGAAAUCCCACGGCUCAACCGUGGAACUGCUGGGUGUACUGGCGGUCUUGAGCCACCUAGGGGCAACUGGAACAAGCGGUGGAGCGGUGAAAUGCGUAGAUAUGUGGAGGAACACCGAUGGCGAAGGCAGCCCCCUGGGCUAGUACUGACGCUCAUGCACGAAAGCGUGGGGAGCAAACAGG
rnacentral:rRNA from 1 species